rnacentral:rRNA from 1 species
UACGGGGGGAUGCAAGCGUUUAUCCGGAAUUAUUGGGCGUAAAGGGUCCUGAGGUGGCUAGCCAAGUCUAUUGUGAAAUAUCAGGGCUUAACCCUGAACAUGCGGUGGAAACUAGAAAGCUUGAGUACAGUAGGGGCGGAGGGAAUUUCCGGUGGAGCGGUGAAAUGCAUAGAUAUCGGGAAGAACACCAACGGCGAAAGCACUCCGCUGGGCUGAUACUGACACUGCAGACGAAAGCUAGGGUAGCGAAAGGG